ACUCCUACGGGAGGCAGCAGUGGGGAAUAUUGCACAAUGGGCGCAAGCCUGAUGCAGCCAUGCCGCGUGUGUGAAGAAGGCCUUCGGGUUGUAAAGCACUUUCAGUCGUGAGGAAGGUAGUGUAGUUAAUAGCUUGCUAUUAUUUGACGUUAGCGACAGAAGAAGCGACCGGCUAACUCCGUGCCAGCAGCCGCGGUAAUACGGAGGGUGCGAGCGUUAAUCGGAAUUACUGGGCGUAAAGCGCAUGCAGGUGGUUUGUUAAGUCAGAUGUGAAAGCCCGGGGCUCAACCUCGGAAUUGCA
rnacentral:rRNA from 1 species